UGCCGGAUGAUGACACCAUUCUCAUGUUCGCAGUUGAGAGUUGGAUGAAAAAGAACCACUCGAUGAAGUGUCUUUGUAGCCUUCACUUAGAUGUCUGACACAGAGCG
rnacentral:snoRNA from 2 species